rnacentral:rRNA from 1 species
UGGGGAAUAUUGCACAAUGGGCGAAAGCCUGAUGCAGCGACGCCGCGUGAGGGAUGACGGCCUUCGGGUUGUAAACCUCUUUCAGUAGGGACGAAGCGCAAGUGACGGUACCUGCAGACGAAGCACCGGCUAACUACGGGCCAGCAGCCGCGGUAAUACGUAGGGUGCGAGCGUUGUCCGGAAUUACUGGGCGUAAAGAGCUCGUAGGCGGUUUGUCACGUCGUCUGUGAAAUCCUAGGGCUUAACCCUGGACGUGCAGGCGAUACGGGCUGACUUGAGUACUACAGGGGAGACUGGAAUUUCUGGUGUAGCGGUGGAAUGCACAGAUAUCAGGAAGAACACCGAUGGCGAAGGAAGGUCUCUGGGUAGUAACUGACGCUGAGGAGCGAAAGCAUGGGUAGCGAACAGG